AGAGGUGGUGACUGGUUCCGUAGGGUAACGUCUGGCUGUCUCGUCAGAGACUGCAGCAGAUCAAACAGUGAAUUACACACACACUUGGAUCAGUUUGAAUGAGGAAGCGGUGUCAGCAAACCAGGCAGGCCAGCAGGCACUGCCAGUCACCAAUGAGUAAAUCAGCGUUCAGAGAAGGGAUAACGCUGCACCAGGAGGCAGGAAACCAACCGUUCCUGUCUAUAUCCCAGUUCAAGACAAACUUCUGGUCGUGAUUGGGGAUAACAACACCUCAAUUUCAGGUGUUGAGAAUGCCUGUGACUGAGAACAACCAACAGCUGUUAUCAGUGUUCCUGUAGGUUGGUACAGCAAGCUAUGGCAGGAAAGCCAGAAUAUCGAACUGCUGCAGAGGGACAAUAACUUCCAGUGCACCCAUCCUCUGCAUCAUUGCAGGAUCUUGCCAAGAUGACAUUUGAGGAGUUCCAUCACCUGUCUGAGAAAGAGAAAAAUAGAUAGGGUUCAAUAAGUUGAUAUGCAAUACAAACUAGCUCAAAAAAAAGUAAUUCUUUCCCAUCUCCUCUUUCAGUAAUAUUAUACUAUUUUAUUUUCAUUUUGUAUGAUAACCAUGGCAUAGUAAUAAGGGGCAAGCCGGGCAAAUGCCCUGGGCAGCACAUUUCUUAGUGGGCAGCACAAGCGAGGCUACUGAGAGUAUUGGUGUUCAGACUAUUGUUUUAGAAUUUGCAACAUUGAAGGUAUGCAAAAUAAUGAUUUAAAGUUGAUGGAUGUAUAAUAUAAUAUGUAUACAUAAUACACAAAUGCUUAAUUUUACAUUUUAAUUAUUUUUGGGUGCAGCAUUUCCAGGUUUCGCCCCCAUGUAAAUCUAUCUCUCACUAUGCCGCUGUAUGAAAGGGCUGUGGUAUUUAACAGAGUAUAAAAUAUUGUGAUGUGU